rnacentral:rRNA from 1 species
AUUGGUCAAUGGACGCAAGUCUGAACCAGCCAUGUCGCGUGCAGGAAGACUGCCCUAUGGGUUGUAAACUGCUUUUAUAUUGGAAGAAUUGCGCUUACGAGUUAAGCGUUUGACGGUACAUUAUGAAUAAGGAUCGGCUAACUCCGUGCCAGCAGCCGCGGUAAUACGGAGGAUCCGAGCGUUAUCCGGAUUUACUGGGUUUAAAGGGUGCGUAGGUGGAUUUGUAAGUCAGUGGUGAAAUCUCCGAGCUUAACUCGGAAACUGCCGUUGAUACUAUAAGUCUUGAAUCAUCUGGAGGUAAGCGGAAUAUGUCAUGUAGCGGUGAAAUGCUUAGAUAUGACAUAGAACACCAAUUGCGAAGGCAGCUUACUACGGAUGUAUUGACACUGAGGCACGAAAGCGUGGGGAUCAAACAG